rnacentral:misc_RNA from 1 species
CCGACUAUAAUUUCCCCUAACGGACUCGAGGGAGGCGUCUGCGGCUGCGUUGUCAGUCACUCUAUCACCGUUGUUCGGUGGCCGUCGUUCGCUCCAUCUGGCGCCCGCUGCUUGUUCCUAGGUUGAUAUACCGGUGCAGUACACUGACGUGCAGUCGAAAGUUUUGUCUUAAAACGCGAUCCGCCGGGAGAAGCUAUACCUCGUGCGUGCUACUAAAAGAGACAGCGCCGCAGCAACGUCACACCGCCCUCAGUCAUCGCCUCGACUACGUAACAGGGAGAAUGGGUGAACAGCCUGCGUCGUUCUACUGGCUCCUGUUUGUCGUGAUCGUAUCAUGCGCUUCUCGGUCGGCUUCGGCUAGCAGCGCUUCGGGUGCAUCUAGUGAGAAUGAUGUGCAGCCGCCGGAGGAGGAGGCUUCGGCGGAGAGCGCAAUCGCUAACUAUCCCGACGUCGCCGAGAGUUCCAUGCCGACAGAGUCCGCGGCGUCGGUCUUACCAUUCACCACCCCUAGCAGCAGUACCAGCAGCAGUACCAGCAGCAGUGUCGGUGUGACCGAGGCUUCCACUGUCGGGGACUGGACAACACACGCGUCGAUGGUAGGCCCGAAGCCCACGAUCAACCAGGCAGUCGUCGGGAUGGUGCAAUUCUUGCAGAAGGAGAUGGCCGAGCUGCGGGGUGCGCAGCAGGAGGAACACGACAAGGUGGCGCUGCUGCGAGCACAGAUGGAGAUGCAACAGCUUGUCAACGCACAGCUUCUUCGUGCAGAAGAAAAGAACAACGAGAAGAUGUCGACAAUGACACGUGAGCUGACUCUCCUCAUCACCGAGUUCCAGCAGACUCGAGAAGAAGUCGCAGGCAACAUUACAGACAUCUGGCAAGUGCUCAAAGAUCAGGAUUUUGAAUCGAUAAAAGCAAUAGGUCGUUUGAACAGCAUCACGAUGGAACUGACUGAGAGACAGGCGACCGACCACAAACAGACGCAGAAGCAACAGGGCAUGAUGUCGGCGCUAGUCGACCGACUCUCGCUCGACCUGACCGACCUCGUCGGCCAGUACCGCCACAACCUCCCGACGCUCGAGCUCGUCAGCCAACAGGGGGCGCAGCUGCAGGUCAUGGGUGAGCAACUCGAUCGUCUGCGGGGGCAGGUCGAUGACGUCAUCGCCGGCGACGACUGGCAGCAUGCGCUGACGAAGCGUGUCGACGACAACUCAGCGGGAGUCGAGGCGCUCGCGUACUCGCUGGCGGGCGUCGCCGAGGAAGCGGCCGACGUCGUCGGCAGACUAAACUACAGCGAGGUGCGGCUGGAGGGUUUCAAGCGCGAAGUCGCUGUCGUCGGCGCCAAACUCGACGUCAUUGCCGACGACCUGGACACCUUCGAGAACAGUACGUCGCUCGAUCUCGAAGGGAAAUCAAUCGAGAUGCAACUGCAGGCGUCGCGCCGCGAGGCAACGGAGCGAGACGUCGCGAGCCUAUUCACUGCGCUGGACAAACUCGCCGACGCGCACGAGGCGUCGACGGCCGACGUCGCCGACGUCGUCGACGACGUGUUCCGGCUGCGCAACACGCUGCGCGAAGAGUUGCUGCGCAUCAACGAGACGGAGAGAGACGUCGACGCGCUGAACAGCAGCGUGCGCGCGCACAUCGACCGCAGCGCCGCCGACGCGGAGCCGAGGAACCGCUACCACAGCGUCAGCUCGCUCGCCAACGAGACAGCCGACGGUGGCGACAUCUUCGGCGAGUCGCGAUUCCGCGCGUCGAUGCGGACCCGACUCGGCGACGUCGAGCGCCGCGUAGGGGCGCUACAGGCGACCUGCGAGCGAGCCGAGACGAACUCGCAACGUCUCGGCAAGAUCCUGCUUGACAACUCGGACGGGGAGGCCGGCGAUAGCAGCGGCGACGGCGACGGCCCGUUCCCGGCCGCCGACAACGUCAUUCCCGUCGACGCGCUCGAGCUGUGGAAGGCCGGCGUUGACACGACGCUUACCAACCUUGAGACGACGUUCUCGGCCGAGCUCGCCUCUCUCGCCGCCAACGUCACACGCGUGACGUCACGGCUAUCGAACGUCGACGACGACGAGGAGGAGAGGGACACGGCGAAGGCUGUAAGCGGGCUGGAGUUCUCGCUGAGUCAGAUGCAGACAGCGCUAGAUGUGCUGCAGAUCGGACAGGCGGAGCUGGAGAGCAGGACGCUGAGUCACGGAGAUGAGGUGACGAGGCUGGCGAGCAAGGUGCGCGCCGACCAGUACAACCUCGUCGAUCUGCAGAACACGAUGUUCAACUACUCGCUGCAGGCGUGCAGGGACGUCAACGAAAAUCUGCAGCAGAAUCUCAAGAUAUCCAACGUCGAGGUGAAGUACCACCAAUUGGAGAAUUCCCUGGAAGAGCAACGAACCAGCAUUAUACUCAUCGGUAACAAAGUCAAUGCAAUGGCAUCCCGCAGUAUUACAGACGAACUCAGUAGCAAACUGCGCUCACUCCGGACCGAGGUGGAUUCCGCUAUCGAUAAGAUUCCAAAGGCUGUCGAUGUGCUGGAGGCUCUUGACCACCAGGUGGCGCAGUUCGUUUAUCAACUGCCCGAGGACUGUAGUAUGAGGACAGUGCCAGUACGAUACGAGAGCUACAGCAGUGGAGUGUAUCUCAUCAAACCCAACAACUUAAACGAGUCCGUACGGGUAUUCUGUGACGUUGACGAAGCUGGAGACAUGUGGACAGUCAUACAGAGAAGAUUGGAUGGGUCCGUCGACUUCUACCGUACGUGGACCGACUACCGCGACGGGUUCGGUACGGCCGCUGGCGAGUACUGGCUGGGCAACGAGCACAUUCACGCGAUCACGCGCACGGGCAACUACUCGCUGCGCGUCGACAUGUGGGACGCCGACGGCACCUAUCGCUACGCCACCUACGAAGAGUUCUCGGUCGCCGACGCCGCCGACGACUACCGUCUGCAGUUGAACGGCUACGGCGGCAACGCCACCGACGCGAUGAUGUAUCACAGCAACAUGCGCUUCAGCACGCGCGACCGCGACAACGACGUGAGCAGCAGCCACUGCGCGCGCUUCUACCAGGGCGGCUGGUGGUACACGCACUGCCAGACGACGAACCUCAACGGCGAGUUCAAGGUCGGCAUGACGUGGUUCGACCGCGACACGAACGACUGGACGCAACUGGCCAAGGUCGUAAUGAAGGUCAGACCGAUAUAGAGGGUCUACUUAUCAAGGUCGUGAUGAUGGUUAGACCGAUAUAGAGGGCGUCCUUAUCAAGGUCGUGAGGAAGGUUAGGCCAAUAUAGAGGGCGUACUUAUCAAGGUCGAUAUGGGGCGCACGUGUGCGUACCGGCGGGGAGGGGGGAUCAUGAUGAAAUUCAACUCGAUAUAGGGCGUAAUAAUCAAGAUUGUGCAAGAAUGCAAUUAAGCCGAUGUAGUGUGUAUGUCGACGUACGGUCUUGCUCGUUGUGAAUCUCGCAGGCAAUUACGAGACGUAUUUAUGAAAUAAAACAUAUAUAGAUAUUCGUUAGCACCUGUAGAAAUGAUUCGUAGAUAUCUCAUAUAUAGAUCAUAUGUGAUAUAUGUCUGUAUAUGUAAUAAAAUGGCUAUGUGCCAAGAAAAACCACUAAA